GAUGAACGCUGGCGGCGUGCUUAACACAUGCAAGUCGAACGGGAAACCUUUUAUUGAAGCUUCGGCAGAUUUAGCUGGUUUCUAGUGGCGGACGGGUGAGUAACGCGUGGGUAACCUGCCUUAUACAGGGGGAUAACAACCAGAAAUGGUUGCUAAUACCGCAUAAGCGCACAGGACCGCAUGGUCCGGUGUGGAAAACUCCGGUGGUAUAAGAUGGACCCGCGUUGGAUUAGCUAGUUGGCAGGGUAACGGCCUACCAAGGCGACGAUCCAUAGCCGGCCUGAGAGGGUGACCGGCAACAUUGGGAGUGAGACACGGCCCAGACUCCUACGGGAGGCAGCAGUGGGGAAUAUUGAACAAUGGGGGAAAGCAUGAUGCAGCGACGCCGCGUGAAGGAAGAAGUAUCUCGGUAUGUAAACUUCUAUCAGCAGGGAAGAUAGUGACGGUACCUGACUAAGAAGCCCCGGCUAACUACGUG
rnacentral:rRNA from 1 species